ACUCCUACGGGAGGCAGCAGUAGGGAAUAUUGGUCAAUGGGCGGGAGCCUGAACCAGCCAUGCCGCGUGCAGGAAGACGGCCUUCUGGGUUGUAAACUGCUUUUACCAGGGAAGAAAACCCCCAUGCGUGGGGAAUUGACGGUACCUGGCGAAUAAGCACCGGCUAACUCCGUGCCAGCAGCCGCGGUAAUACGGAGGGUGCAAGCGUUGUCCGGAUUUAUUGGGUUUAAAGGGUGCGUAGGCGGCUUUUUAAGUCAGUGGUGAAAUGCGGCAGCUCAACUGCCGGAGUGCCAUUGAUACUGGAAAGCUUGAGUAUAGAUGAGGCAGGCGGAAUUUAUGGUGUAGCGGUGAA
rnacentral:rRNA from 1 species